rnacentral:lncRNA from 1 species
GGGCCCGCCCACUUGAGGCUGUGGAAGCCGCGUGCCUGGGGCGUAGACAGGGCUUAGAUCUUUUAGAAGAAAAGAAACCGAUUGCGGUAAAUCCUCUGGACUACGCCGGGUCCUCGGAAGCUGUGCGCUAACCAAAAUCCCCGACGCUGGCAGUUGCCAUUGUUCCCCAGAGGCAUCCACACUAAUGGGACCCAAGUAUUGUGCAGCUUCAUUUUACAGUGAGGAAACUCGGUGUAUGCAGGAUAGGGAACUCUACAUGGACCACAGAAGGCAAAAGCCUGCUGCUUUCCUGUGCAGGGUGGAGUGUACUAAGUUAGCAUCCUGUGAUGUACUUGCCCCAGCCAGCAACAGCAGAGAAGCACACAGGUAACACAGCUCCUUGAAGUUGGACCCUCCAGUGUUGUGUCAUUUGCCUUUCUUUUCUCAAGGGUUGUUGAAGAACCAAGACCAGGUACAUUUCAGCAGUUUCAUGCCCAAUGGUAUCCUGAAGCAGACGUAUACAGUGAUGGCCUGAGAGUCAUCUGGCCAGUGCUCCCAGGCACUGCCUGCCAGUAGCCCCAACCACAUCUGUGCAGCACAGUCCUCAGGACCUACACCAACAUCCCUUGAAAAAAAACAACAGUGUCUUUGUGGGUUUUAGGGGUUUUUUGUUGUUUUGUUGUUUUUUACAUGAAGAGUAGUCUAAACAAAAAUUUACAAAGCUCACUGAACUUAAAAUACUCUGGAAGUGUUGAUCAGCAAGAAGGCUGUGCUUUCAAACCAAAACAUGCCACAGAUGGCACCCAAAAGCAGGCAAUCUGUGAGCCUUCAGUGUGCUGUACACUCCUGGCUGAUAUUGUUUAGGACACCUGUGAACAGAAUGAGUGCUACAGGGCAUGCUCUGGGAGAAACAGUCUCUUCAUCUUCCUUGCCUAAUGCCUCAAUAAGCCAGGGAGCCUGGUGGGCUUCCCAGUGUCAUUAGCCGUGUGGAUCAUGUGGUCUCCUGGGAUGCCUGGUUUAGGUAGCCUCAAAGUUUCCCACUCACAGCUUUCUUGGAGAAAGGACAGUGGGGCAGAUCCCACAACCACUGUCACCACUUAUAAAAAGCAUUUCCCUUAUAAAUGGGACCCACCUGCUCCCUAAGGAAUUUCUAGCACCUAAGUAGCCUAUCACAAUCCAAGUGUCUCUGCCUGCCCUGAAAUAAGCCAAGAACUCUGAUAAGCAGAACAUGCCACAACUUGGCCCAGGAGAUGAGAAACCCAGCCGGGGUGCAAGCUGCAUGCAGACUACUCACUGUACCCCAUAAAGCACCCCAGAGCAUGGAACUGCAGCAGAAAUUGAAAUCUGCGUGCACAGCUAACCUCUUCAGCAACAGAAGCUACCUGAGAGCAAAGAGAAUGGCUCUGUACAACACCCACACACUGUCCUUUGGCUUUUGGUCAGGACUCCACAGACUGUCCAGUGCACAGGCCCUUCUUGAGUGCAUGGAGCUCCCAUGAGUGUCAUCUGUGAGUUUGCCACUGCUCUACCCAUGUAACUGGAAAACUUGUAAGCCAGACACAACUUUCCAUUUCUACCAUCAAUCCUCACAGGAGGGUUUUGGUGUCUAAGUGUCUGAGGACAGCAAGUUGGGUGGGAGUCCUCUACCUGGCCUCUCUUUGAUAGAAGAGUUGCUAAGAACACCAGCUGCAGGAGACUGGAAAUGACCCAACACCAUGGGAGGAAACACAGUACUUGGUCCACACCUUGUGCAGAAGGCAGAUCUCAAACAAGAGCAAGCCAGCUUUCCAGGAACUGUUUAAGAAGCAGGCUCCAGAGCCAGCUGAAUACAGGCAGUGAAGCUGUGUGUAUACUCAGGCUGUUAAGAACAGAUGGUGGGAGCCACCUGGUAUCCUGCACUAGCCCAAAGCACAACCAGGUGCCUGCCUGAGCCCAGCUCCUCUCCCAGGAGCCUGGGAAACCACAGACAACAUAUUGUGCAUUAACCAGGCCAUGCAGAAACACCCACAGGAACCUGGCCUGGCUUCUAGGGCAGCUUCAUGAUACAGAAAGUCCCUACAUGCCUGCCUAUGUACACAUCAUACACAUGAAUAAGUAAAUAAAUGUUAUUUAUAUAAAUAGCUUUUACAGCCCAUCCUGCUGUCCUCAGACACUUGGUCACCAUAACCCCAUCUGCCUGAGACCAAUGGCAUAGAACUUACUACACAAUUCACCUAGAACUGUCUUCAGAGCAGCUGAGGGUGACCAAAGCACUUUGGAGGCACCACACAAGGACAGCUCCCUGUCACCUAGUGGAAACAAGAUGCAUUAACUGGGGACAGGCAGGCAGUGCUCAGGGACCAAGCACCAUGAGCUCCAGCAUGACAUGUGUCUCUAUACACACCAGGGUGCCAGCUAGCCUGGCUCAUGACCAACCUCAUUUGCUCCCUGUGCAGUUGGCACAUACCUGCCUCCAUAAUGUUAGUGUCAUCAGUAAGAUGUGGACACUUGUGUGAACAAGCAAGGAAAGAAAGCAGUAGAGAGGAGAGGAGAUGGGGCAGAUAGGUGGCUAUCAUCUGAAAAGCAGGUUAAGUGGGUAGAGUAAGGCCAAAAGGGAAAGCCCAAACCACAGUAAACAGAUAAAGCAGCUAGCCCUGGAGAACCCCAGUCACUGAAAAGAGCAAUCAGUUCUAAUCAGCUCUGGACAGGAGGUUCUGGCCAAUGCAAGUGGGCAAGAAAAAGACAGAAGAGGCCUUCCAAACAGGAAUGAGGAAUGAGUGCCCACACCCUGCAUUCAUGUUAGUUCUUGGGAAGCACUUAGGGCAUCUGAGCAGAGCUACAGGACAGAGCAUUUCCACCACAGGUUCACAAGCUAAAGACUCCAAGUCAAACCCCCACUGACAAAUAAAUAUGAAAGGCCCAAGAGGUGACUCAGUGAGUAAAAGUGUACACAACCAAACCAGACAACCCAAGUUUAAUCCCAUAUCCCCAGAUUGUCCCAUGACCUCCACUUAUGCACAUGCACAAAAUAAAUUAAUGUUAAAUU